GGGAGGAUAUUGCAGUCCUAUCUUGGGGCAGAAUUUCUGAUAAACACUAGUAUGAAGGUUAACAAUUUAUCUUAGGACAGUAAUCAAAUGCUUCCAGAUUUUUUCCUUCAUUUGCAUCAUAAUUUAAAGAGCUAAUCCAACCAAGCUCUUAGCAAGUCAAAUUUCUUUAUAUCAUCCUUAUCACAUAGUUUAGAUAAAUCUGAAGUUUAUCAAAACUAUUAUUUAAAUAUUUUUUUGUUUGAUAAAACUCUAAUCUAGAAGGAUUCCUCCAGCAUAUAGUCUGUCAGCGUCCCCGUUGCGUAGAAACAUGUGCUCUAGCGAAGCCGGAUGAUAUUGAAUUUGGAAUCCUCGAUAUGAGAUUAUGAAGUUUGUCACGAGGAAAAAUUUCGUCAUGCACUAUGAUUUUGGGUAACCUUCGCAACAAAGUCCACUCCAUCUGACGAUUAGAUUGGACUAACGCCCCGAAGCCCAACGAGGAAGUUUCUCGCUUCCUGAAUUCUCACUACAAGUCCAGUUGCAUUAGGUUGCGUACGUAAAUCAGUUUAGACUAGCAUACAAGUUGAAUUGGUACUGUGUGGAAGAAGGGUAACUAUUAUGCUUCAAUGCCACUAGUCGUUAUGCUAGUGGUAUAUAGGACAGGAAAUGGA
rnacentral:lncRNA from 1 species